AGAGUUUGAUCCUGGCUCAGGACGAACGCUGGCGGCGUGCCUAACACAUGCAAGUCGAGCGAUGAAGUCCUUCGGGAACGGAUUAGCGGCGGACGGGUGAGUAACACGUGGGCAACCUGCCUUAUAGAGGGGAAUAGCCUUCCGAAAGGAAGAUUAAUACCGCAUAAGAUUGUAGCUUCGCAUGAAGCAGCAAUUAAAGGAGCAAUCCGCUAUAAGAUGGGCCCGCGGCGCAUUAGCUAGUUGGUGAGGUAACGGCUCACCAAGGCGACGAUGCGUAGCCGACCUGAGAGGGUGAUCGGCCACAUUGGGACUGAGACACGGCCCAGACUCCUACGGGAGGCAGCAGUGGGGAGUAUUGCACAAUGGGGGAAACCCUGAUGCAGCAACGCCGCGUGAGUGAUGACGGCCUUCGGGUUGUAAAGCUCUGUCUUUGGGGACGAUAAUGACGGUACCCAAGGAGGAAGCCACGGCUAACUACGU
rnacentral:rRNA from 1 species